rnacentral:rRNA from 1 species
AUACGAAGGGGGCUAGCGUUGUUCGGAUUUACUGGGCGUAAAGCGCACGUAGGCGGAUUGAUUAGUUAGGGGUGAAAUCCCGAGGCUCAACCUCGGAACUGCCUUUAAUACUGUCAAUCUCGAGACCGGAAGAGGUGAGUGGAACUCCUAGUGUAGAGGUGGAAUUCGUAGAUAUUAGGAAGAACACCAGUGGCGAAGGCGGCUCACUGGUCCGGUACUGACGCUGAGGUGCGAAAGCGUGGGGAGCGAACAGGAUUAGAUACCCCUGUAGUCC